UACGUAGGGGGCAAGCGUUGUCCGGAAUCAUUGGGCGUAAAGAGCGUGUAGGCGGCCCGGUAAGUCCGCUGUGAAAGUCCAGGGCUCAACCCUGGGAUGCCGGUGGAUACUGUCGGGCUCGAGUCCGGAAGAGGAGUGUGGAAUUCCUGGUGUAGCGGUGAAAUGCGCAGAUAUCAGGAGGAACACCAAUAGCGAAGGCAGCUCGCUGGGACGUAACUGACACUGAGGCGCGAAAGCGUGGGGAGCGAACAGG
rnacentral:rRNA from 1 species